rnacentral:lncRNA from 1 species
CCACUUAACAAAAGAAACCAUAUUUAACUACCUAAAAUCAAAACCAAUUGCAAGUCACAAGCUUCAUGGUAAUGACUUGAGCGAACUUGGCAUUAGUAUUUAGUAAGGCACUGGAAGAGGCCGUGGCAAGGCUCCAUGAGCUGCUUUUGACCUUGUCUGGAAUUUGCAUUCCACUGAUAACAAUUGACUUUCUUCAGUGUUGAUCAGUUGUAGUAGAAUUCUUGCCCAUCAGUCCACUCGUGGACUGCUGCUUUUACUAGUGUCCUGUUUUCGUUUAUCAAAUUCCAGGCUGGGAAGUCUUCUCUUGGCAUCACAAAAUCUUCUUCCCCGAGCUUCAAACUGGGGCAGAAAUCGCCAAUUCCAUCACCUAGAUAGAUCAUUCUUUUCUUCCCUUCCUUAGCGAUGGUGGCUUGUAUUCCAAGGCAUAGUUGGGAGAAGUUGAUUGAACAAAUCAGUAGCGCCUAACUCAUCCACCACCCAAUUGUCACUAUCAACAUCAAUGAUCGUCUUGUCAAAGUAAAAAACCACUACAAUUCCAACCAUUUCUUUUAGUAACUUCUAGAUUGGUUAGAAACAAGAAAACAGAUGAAUAUAGAAGAAGACCUCUGUUUCUUGUUCUUUUGGGAUUUUUACUAUUUGUGUUUGUGAACACCAAACUAAAGAGGAAGCUUUAUAGGGAGGGGAAAAAGAGAAUUAGGCAAACAAAAUAAAAAAUGAUGCCAAGGGAAUAUUACAUAAGUUAGUGGUAAGUUAACGCAAAGCCACUCAAAUUCCUAAACUCACUUGGUUUUCUUCUUUCAGCAUCCUUAAUAAUUUUUGGAUAUUAGACGUUAGAUUUUAGUAUACUUGAUUGAAACGGAUCAUCGUGCGGUGGAUAAAUACCUUAUUCUUUAUGGUAUAAUAAAUAACUUUUUAUUAAUUAGGUGGGAGAUUUUAUUUUUUAUGGGAAUUCGAUGGAAUAUGACAGACUAUUCCAUGCAGGGAAUGCAGUUCUCCACAAAUUAGAAUUCAACUAAAUCCUUGUACAUAGGAGAAUACAUCUAGAUUUAUGUGAUGAAAUAUUUAUAUAGGAAUUAGUACAUAUUUAGUUGUUUUUACCGUGUUCUUUAUAUUUUAAUUACUCCUUCCGGUUCUGUCUCAUAUGUCCAUUUUUUGUCUUUACGUGCUACUUAAAAAUCAUAAAUAAAAAAUUAAAAGGAUGUUUUGUCUAUUUAAGUUUAUAUGUAUAACAUUGUUUUUUUUGACAAAGAAUCAAAUAUGUAUAGACGGUGCAUGUAAUGGUUUUGUGCAAUGUCAAUUAGUUUGAAGUCAACUAGUCAUGCUAUGUUAUAAACAUGAGGUGGUAACCCUAAAACAAAAACAAAAAAAGGCAAUAUAAAUGGUUGAUAAUAUAACUAUGAUGAAAUUUUGAAUUAUUUUUCUUCCUACUAUAUGCAUGUCAUUGAGCUCCAAACCUUAAUGACAUGCAUAUAGGAUUAGCACUACUGGAGAUUUGGUGCAACAAAAUUUGAUCCCAUUCAUUUGCAUAAAUGUCACGACCCAGACCGUCGUAAUUGGCACCCAUACUAACCCUUCGGUGGGAGAACCAUUACUACAACCCAAACUAACAACACAACAAAAAACUAAGGCAUUUAAAGAUACGGAAGCAAGUUAAAAUGACUAAAAGAAAUAUGGAGUUCUCAUAAACUCCCCAAGUUUUAAACAAAUAACUUAACCAAACUAAUGCGGAAAUUCACCCCUAGAACCUGAAAGUCAUUGUACCAAAAGUCUACUAACGACAAGUCUAAGAACAAGGUGUACAACCCAGAAACUAAACAACACCUUAAACAAAUAUUUUGAGUCCGAAAAGAGUGGACUUAAACCAGAAAGAUUCAUGGCAGCCUGAAAGAACUGGCUCACCCUUGAAUCAGAUCACACUCAAUAGUCACCUAGCUAAGGUCUAUCAAUAACCGCCUGAAGAUACCCUGUACUCAACAAAGAACAAGCAAGUGCAAUAUCAUUACCCAACCACAGUGUACUGGUAGGAUCACGGGCCUAUAUAUCCCAAUAAGUGUAACAUACAUUAGUCAAUACAAUAAUAUAAUCACAUGCACAUAUCUAACAUAUACCAUAUCAUCAACAUAUACGAACAAUGAACAACUUCACGAAUCUCACAUAUCACAGUUAUAUCAAUUUAGAGCAACAUACCAUUUUCCAAUAUCAAUCAUCAUUAGAUAUAAACGAACUCAUCACAAGUAGAUACACAACACAAUUCAAUGGUCCUCUCAUGGAACCCAAUUCAAUGCUCCUCUCAUGGAACCCAAACCCAAACGAUUAGCAUAUCGGUUCGUGGUACCCGAUCCAAGUUAGUGUGUCGAAACGUGGCAGCCGAUUCCAUAUUUAUGUCGGAACGUGGCAACCGAUCCCAUAUUUAUGCUGGAACAUGGCAACAGCUCCAUUCAACAAACCACAAUCACAAUCACAAUGUAUAUUCUCACAAUCAUACAACAAGAUGUGAUUCAUGACAUACAAUUAUUCAAUUAUCCUCAUUUACGAUUAAGGUGAUCAAUAAUGCAACAUUCACAUAUAUACAUGUAUCAUAAUGAAGCAAGAACAAACAUACAUCACACAAUCAUAGAAUCACAACCAUCACCUACCUCGAAACAAGCUUGAAACCCUAAGAAACUUGAUCUAUAACAUCUCGCAAUUUGAAAUAAGUAGGAAGAAGCAUAGAAUGGGAAAUAGUCAUUUUGGGAAAUAAUGAAAAUCUGGAAAUUUGUUAAGGUUAGGAAAUGUUGAGUUUUUAGUCAACUUCAAACGGCCAUAACUCCUAGGUCAGGAUGAGUUAGGUGUACUUCUAGAUAUGGUUGGAAAACUAUUGGAAUGAUCUUUCCAACGCCACCAAAUUUGCGCGAUUCUGAGUUUAUAUGAGUGAGUUAUGUCAUUCGGAAGUUGGGCUGUGUGAUUAAAGAAAGUCUAGUCCGGAUUUUUGAAGGGUAGAUUAGUCUCUUCCUUACCCGAUUAAUUUAAUUCGUUUUAGUGAAUUAAUUAAAGGUCAAAUCAGAAUGAGAUCAGUUUAGUCAAUUGGAAAUUCACGCUAGGGCUUGGAGAAAAGAGAAAAGAGGAGAAAGGAGAGGAAAAACUCAAGAUUCGCCAAGAUCGUGCGAUUUGGUUGUGGAUUUCGCCAAGGAAUUUAUCUUACAAGGUAUGUGAGUCUUUCAUAGCGUCGGGUUCGUUCACCCACGCGCCAAACAUGUUUAGUUCAGCGAAAUUUGUCCUAAAAGAGUUUGAAAGUUGAUGUUCUUGACAUGUAUUCUUGAAUUUGAUUAAUGUUGUUCUUGAAUUGGGAUGAAUUGAGGAGUUUCUGAGAUCUUUACGUUGAGUUUUAGAGUUGUUUUUAGUUAGGUUCUUGAGUACAUAUGCUGGGUAUCGGGAUCUAAAAUGAAUUUGAGAUCAAUAGUCGAGUUUAGGCGAAUAAGGGCUGGAAAACGAAGAAGGAAAAGUCGAGCAGAUUUUGGCACGCAAGUCCGCGUCGCGGACUUGCUCCCCCAGUGCACAAAAAGUUGCUCUGCGUCGCAGUUAGGACGUGGACUCUUCUGUCACAAAAUUUAAUUUUGCAAGCAAAUAUUUUAAUGCAACUCCGCGUCGCGGACUUGUUCCAAGACGGUGAUUUCGUGAUUUUUCUCAUGUUUAGCUAUCUAAAAACACUCCUAAACAUCAUGAAAUCUUUCCUAUCACAAUUCAUAAUCCUUGAAUCCAUAAUUCAAUUCAAGGAGAGUUAAGAGUCAAUUCAAGUAAAGUUAAUAGUCAAAUCAAAAGAAGUUCGUCAAAGUUUUCAAAGGUCUUUUACAAACGUUUUAACUUUAUUUUGAGACUUAAAGUUCAAGUUGAGUAAAGAGUAAAGAGUAAAGCUUGAAGUUCAUUUCUUCAAAAGUAUAUAGGGACUAUGUAUUCCCAAAGGGUUUAAAAUGUUUUCACAUUUAAACAAGAAAGGAAACCUCGAUUUCCAAAGAGCCUUCAGGCUAGUUUUCAGAAAAGAGUAAAUGCUUUCUAAAUGAAGCAAGAGGGAAACUUUGAUUUCCAAGAUAGCUGUCACGACCCGAGAGUACCCCUUAGUCAUAACAUGACGUAUUCGACCCCGAAGGGGUCUUAUACGAGCCACAUAGUCAUUUAUUGCAUUCAAUAAUGAAAAUAGUGCGGAAUAAAAAAAAAACUUAUUUACAUCCACACAUUUAAACUUCAUUAAAACAACUUUAAAAACACACAGCGGAAGUCUAAGUCUCACAUGGCCAUCUUAGACACAGUCACAAAACAUAAGUAGGGACACGGCCCUUUACAAUCAAAAGAAGUCUAUUAAGUCUAUUACAUGAACAAAAGAACUUAAAAGUCUUAUCCUCGAAUCCAUGAGGACAUACCAAGUCUUGGAGGAAAGCAAUCCAACACUUCAAACUAGCUAGGAGGGAUCACUUGCCGGAACCUACACUUAUAGUAAAAAUAUGAAGAAUAUGGGUUAGUACACAAAAUGUACUAAGUAUGAUGACCAUGCAAAACAUGCUUUAAAAGGGACAUUUUGGUUAGAAACCAUGCAUUAUGCCACUUUUUGAAGUACCAUGAAUAGUUGCAUAAAAGACAUACAAUACAAGCAUAAACAUCAAGUAAGUCAUAAUAUUACCUUAAACAAUUUCAACAUGAAAACCUUUACCUUGGACCUUCACCUCAAGAAACCCUUAUGCUAUACCUCGUGCAAUGUAUGGAUGGCGUCCCAUACCACCAUCCAUACUAAGGCACCACAUUAAGGUCACUUAAGGUAACUUAUCAUUCCUUUCUUUCACCUUUGCACAAUAUUCAUACAUAAGAGGUAUAUCAUUAAUUAAGACAUGACAAGGGAAAAUAACUCGUAAUAUAACCCAAGUAUAGCAUGCAUCUCAUAUUAAGCAUUUGAGAGCCAACAUUCUUUAAUAACCUCAUUUAGGCCACAAUUGUAUCACAUACAUUAGGAUUUAGAGAAACUCACUAUGACCCUCUCCAAGCCUACUCGUGCAAUGUAUAGGUAGCAUCCCAUACUACUACCUACACUUUGUAGAACCUAUCAAGAAACCAUAAUGAAAUCUCACAUGAUGGGAAGUAAGCAUUUAACCGACAUAGACCAUGAGAGCUUGUCAUGGAAUCCGGUGUCAUAAGUCCCCACACCGUAAAGAGGUGGUCUACUUGCCUAAGGAAGACCGGUAUAUAUAGCUUAAUGGAUCCACUAGCUUCCUAUGCGGGCACAUAGUUUAUGGGAUAAGGUAGACGAUCAUUGAAACUCAUGCCUAACUAUUGGGGGAGUUUCCAUCUAACCAAAUCCACUCGGUGCUUAGCCAACAUUCCCAUAGAAUAGUUCGUUAUCUUGACAUUAUCACAUAUGAGAGGUGCCAUUGGCCUACCAACUCCAAAUUACAUUUAUUAACACGUGAAAGGGUGCUUUAAGCCUACCGUUUCAAGGUUCAUUUAGGAAAGCUCAUUAACUCCUCUUGAAAGGGUGCCAUGGGCCUACCGAUUCAAGUCUCAUCAUUAACCUUUAUGGAAAGGUGCCAUAGGCCUACCGAUUCCAAGGUUCAUUACUAAUCAUUAAUGGAAGGGUGCCAUUAGCCUACCGAUCCAAGGAUUCAACAAUCAACAAUAUAAUCAUUUAUACAAGAAAAUGAUGCAUAAGCCCUACCAAUUCAAGGUAUACUUUAUAUUGAAGAAUCCUUCAUAUUCUAUCAUCAACAUUCAUGAGUGUCAAAUUGAGAAAAAUCCUUUCAAUAAUAACACAUUUACUUUCAUAACAUGAUCACAUUAGCUCCAUUGAAUGUCCAUUCAUAAAAAUGUCAUGUAACACUUAAAUUUCUCAUACUAUGCCUUCAAGGCCAUGGUCACAAUGUAACAAACAAGUAAACAAUUCUAAGUCAACAUUAGCUCCUCAUGUCUUGCCUUUAAGGCCAUGGUCACAAUACAUUCCAUAAUUAAACACCUCCACCAUAAGUGGAUCAAACCAAGCAAGAACAAUUUUAUCCAUAAUAUGAGAUUAAGCCAACUUACCAUCCACCAAAGCCAUAAUCCUCAAUUCAUCCAUAUACCAACAAUUCAUCAUAAAUAGAUAUACAAAACCAUAUAAAUCAACAAUACAAUCCGAUCUAAACACAAUUUCAUCAACAUUAAAUCAUAGGCAUUAAACCCACUUCAUAAGCAAAUUCAAGGCUUUUAAUGAAAACAUGGGUUCUUGAAGAAGUUUCAUAUAAAAUCAUCUUAAAAUCAUAAAUAGAACUUCAAUUCACCAAUAUAAUGACUUUGAAAACAUUUUACCCAUGAACCCAUAACUAGAAUAGAAAAUAGAAGUUUUGUUCUUUGAAGACUUUUGAAACCCUUUUUAAUGGACUCCUUGAAGGAAAGAUAAUCAAGGAUCAAGGGUCACCAUACCUUUGCUAUGAUCUCCCACGAAAUUUGAUGAAGAAAGCCUUGAAUCCAAAACCCUAACUCCCACUUCUUCUUCUUCUUAAUGGAGGAUUGUAGAGAGGGAAAUGUUUUAGGGAUGGGAAUUGAACUAAUGGUAUCUAGGAAAUAAUAUAUGUCAUUUGGAAAAAAUGGUCCAACACUUAGCCUCUGAGCUAAGUUUUUGAGCACUAAUCUCAAAUCACAGAAGAAGAAUAUUUUUAAACAUAAUGAGCUAAGUAUAUUUUUGGGAGUAGUAUUGAGCACCGAUAUGGGGGAGAGUUCAGACAACUCACAACCCUCAUAAAUCAUGUAGCCACCAUGGGUAGAAAAUGGUCGUACUUUUUAGAUGAUUCAUUUAGUGCUUUUUAGCAUAGACUAGUGGAUCCACUUAGUAGUUUAGGUUCUAUACUCAUGGCAAGGUAUAGGACGACCCUGGCAGCGUGAGGCAAAACGUUGUAUUAUCACAUUAGCUCUUACGUGAUGGUUGUCGGUUAGAGAAACUUCCACAGAAGUUAUUGUAUUCUUAUAUACUUAGUUAUUUGUAUUUUUACAUACAUUUCAGAGUUUUGUUGUACCCUUACAUACACACAGAGUUGACAUUAUGUUUUUAAACAACUUUUCUUUAUAUUGCACUUGUUUUAAACUGCUUUAUAUUGAAAUGAGUUCAGUUAUGUUGAGUUGAGUUGUGCCAGGUAAGUUCUUCAUAUUCCUUUCAGGCAUAUGUUGUAUUUAGCAUUCCAACUCGCAUACUCGUAGAUUCAAUGUACUGAUGCCAGUCGGCCUGGAUCGUCUUAUGAUGCAAACACAGGUAACUAGGAUCGGCAUCCAGCACAUCGUUGAUCCAGUGAGCAGUUCGGAGUUAGUUGGUGAGCCUCCUUGCAUUUCGGAGGACUCCUUUUAUUGCUUUCAGUUUUAUUAUCAGAUCAAUAGGAUGUUGUGGGGCUUGUCCCAACAUCCAUCUCAGUUGUUUUUAAAGGCCUCAUAGAUAGUCAGACAAUUAGUUAUGAGUCUUUUAGAUUUGUAUUUCAGAUGUUUUGCUAUGAGACUUGAGUAGCCAUUUUGGCUAGUUUUGAAUGCUUUCUUUAUAGACAUUCUAAGAUUUUUCAUAAGUUCCUUAUUUGAGGUUAUUUCUAAAGUUUAAGUCUUCCGCUGAGUAAGUAAGUCAGGUCAAGGGUUCGCUUGGGGCUAGCAAUGGUUCUCGAGUGCCAGUCCCGCCCAGGGCGUGGGCUCGAGGGGUGACAUGAUCCUUCCCUUUCCGGAUUCAUUCCGCUUGUUCUUGGUCUACAAAGUAUCAAUAUAAUACGAGAAUCAAUAAACAAUCACUAAUUACCCAAAUUACUAACAAUUCUAUGAACCCUAGAUCAAACCCAUGAUCCUAAUUAUCCAAUUUAUGGUUGUUUCAACCAUAGAAUCCAUAACCAAACCCUUCCCCAUCAAUAUUCACCCAUUCUAUUACGUUCUACGGAUCGAAAAAUGGAUUCGGGGAGUGAAAAGCUUAUCUUUAGCCUCAAGAAUGGUGAAAAACGAGUAGGAGUCGCCUGGGGUUCGUUCCUUAGCUCUAAAAGUCGAAAAACACAUAAUGAGGUCGUUUAGGGGUUUAUUAACGGCUUUAAUUCACACUGAUCCCGCCACAACGGCCGUCACCCCGCUGUAGCGUCCCCGCUAGAGUGGCAAAACCCAGCGCCAAAGCGGGUUAUGCAAGACAGAGAGCUAAUUCAAGAAUUCCAAAAUUCUCAUUUCACAACACACCUCUAACCCACGAUGCUCAUAAAAUACCCUUUACGCUAAGAUCGAUUCUGGGAGUUCUACUCACCCGAAUUCAAUUAUGUAAAGUCGGACGGAUUCUUUAACAGUUAUCUAAUUACUCAUGUAAUCAAAAUCAUAAUUAAUUCACCCGGUUGCUACCAGAUUUCCCUACACCUUAAAGUCUUCGAUUUCGUCCAAAUCUGGACUAGGUUAGGAAAUUUCAAAUCACUACUCAAAAGUUUUCUGGCCCCAAUUCUUUCCCUAUUGGCUUUUCCCUAACGACGGAAAUCAAGUCGUUACAAUAAACAUCACAUAUAUUUGUAGGUCAAUAUUUGACUUUUAUCUUCAUUUUUUUUUUAAAAAAAAACACAUUGUAAAUAUAGAUCCAGUGGUAAACCUUUUACUUUGUGUAUCCGUUUUAUUUCUAUGAUUUAUGAUUCUAUAUCUUGAUUAGAAAAUAACUUGUUUAUAGAUAUAGAUAAUUGAACGACAUGAACAAGUUUGUCAAUUUAAAAAAAAAGAACUCGUGAAUAAUUUUUUAGAACAAAAGAAGAUAAAAUGGAAAUAGUAUCAUGUCUGAUCCGUCCAAUAAAUUUUGUGAUCAGACGAUUAAACAACACAUAAGUUUGGUGGCAACUCAAAUAUGGAGAAAUGAGUUUUUGGUUUGAUAAUUGGACAAAACAAGGAGCUUUAUAUUUUAUAGAGGACCAUGGUGGAGGGGAGGAAGAGAUAGAGGUGAAAAGAUUCAUUACAAAUGGAGAAUGGGAUAUUCAAAAGCUGGGACAAAUAGUGUCGAAAGAGAUGAUCUUGUACAUUACGGAAUGCAUUACCCCCCGUCUGACGGAGGAGGGGGAUAAAGCUUGGUGGAUGGGAAGUACAAGUGGGGAAUUCACAAUCAAAUCAACUUUUGAUAUGCUGCGAUGUAGAAGGGAGAAGGAGGAAUGGAGGGCGAAUAUGUGGGGCAAACAGAUUCCUUUUAAGCUUAGUUUUUUACUAUGGAGAAUUUGGAAGGGAAGGAUUGCCACGGAGGAAAAUCUUAAAAGGAUGGGGGUUACUAUAGCAUCGAGAUGCUAUUGUUGUGAAGAGUUUGAGGAGGAAACUAUACAACAUUUAUUUCUAACAGCUCCCAUAGCCCAAAAGCUAUGGAAGCAGUUUGCUUCAUGUGCAGGUAUUCAACAACAUGGGUGUUUGAAACAGAUGAUAACAGGAUGGUGGGAAGUUAACACUCCUAUCAAACUGAAAUUCAUUUUUCAAGCAAUACCAAGCAUUAUACUAUGGGAAUUGUGGAAACGGAGAAAUGCAAGAAGACAUGGAUUGGAUAUAAAUUUUUAUAAGUUGAAGAGUCAGUGUGUCAACACUAUCAUACAAUUGAUAAACAUGAAAUAUCCAUGGAUUAAAGUUCCUAAAAAUUGGGGAGAGAUGGUCAAAAUACUUAAGGAGUACAAACCCAGAUUGCAUUACUGUGCGGUGAGCUGGAGGAAACCUCAUAAUGGUACAAUAAAAUGCAACACGGAUGGAGCUAGUAGAGGGAAUCCUAGAGAAAGUGCCUAUGCAUUUUGCUUAAGGAACGACAAAGGAGAUAUUGUAUAUGCGGAGGCAGGGCAAUUGGGAAAUAGAACGAACAUGGAGGCAUAAAUAUUAGCAGUCUUUAAAGCACUAAGACAUUGCAAGAGAUAAUUUCAACAAUUACAUUCUAGAGACAGAUUCUCUAAGCAUUACAAAUAUAAUUCGAGGUAAUUGGAAGGUACCAUGGCAGCAGGCAGAGGAAAUACUGGAAAUAAUAGAGUUAAUUAGCUCUACACAGGCAAAGAUUCAACAUGUGUUUCGGGAAGCUAAUAAACUAGCAGAUAAAUUGGCAAAUGAAGCAUUUGAGCAAACGAAUGCAAUACAAAUACAUGUUUUCCAACAGUUAUCAGUGGAAUGUAGAGGAAUUGUGAACAUGGAUAAAGCAGAAAUUCCAUCACUACGGAUUAAAACAAGGAAGAUAACAGUACAAGCAACACAUCAGGGGAGGGAUAAAAGAGAUUAACAAGGAACACAGUUAUGCUAUGUACAUCAAAUUUUUCCACUAUACAGGCAUACAUAACUGUGAAGAAAACAAUAGUCCUAGCUAUGUCAGCUUACAAAAAGCUCCACCAGCAAAAACGAAGUCGAUCAAAUCAGAUACGGAGAGGUUGUCUUGGAAUAUCUAUGUCCGUCUCAAAUCAGUGUGGAGUAAGGCAAAAAUGAAAAGUAUGGAGAUGUGCUUACAUUUUCCAAGCAAUAGCUCAGGACUUGGCAUCAGAUCCACUGCACCACCGAAGUUUACCACUACAAAGGAAGCCGAGGUCAGGAAGGAAGAGUGAUUGGCAUUACAACACAUAAAUGGAGAGGGGGGAAGACUUACUGCUGCGAGCUUCGAAUUAUCAGAGUAAAGGAGGUCAGGAGAUACACAUAAAUAAUUCACAACUUGAGGACAUUUUGUUCCUCAAAGCUACUGUGUAAGAGGCGGAGGAGACAAAGAGGAUGCAAAUGGAAAUCUUACUCUCUUUUAUAGUAUGCCAUUUCCCUUUGGAUUGGCCCACAUUUUUUCAUGUUUUUUGUUUCAUUCCUUUGGGCCUAUUUUACAGGUCUAUAUUUGUAAAUUUUUGGGUUUAUUGAAAUAAAUAAAGGAGCUAACAGCUCCACCAAUAUUAAUUAAAAAAAAAAAAAAAAACACAUAAGUUUUGUCAAUCCAGUAAAACCUUUUUUAUAACUUUAAAUUAAAUUAUUAAGUAGAAUAAAUGCAACACUAAGUAUUACCAGUAAUGUAAAAUUUGUGAAGGAGUGAGGGUUUUACCCUGUGCAUACCUAAAGGAUAAUGGCUGGGAGUUUUCUUUGUGAUGAAAAAAAAUGCCCCACUUGAUAUAACUUAUGAACAAAACAUGGUAGGUAAAAUCAAUAAAACUUGUGAAUAAUUUAACAAGAUAAAAUAGAGCAAAAAUUGUACUAAAGUUAUGCCCCACACAGCACAAUUUGUUAAAAGAGUAUUUUAUUCUUUUAAUUGUGUCAGAAGCGAAGUCAGAAUUAACAGUUUGAAAUUUUAAAUUUUGAAGUCGGGCGGACCUACUUGGGAGUUUGAAAUUCUAAAUUUUGAAGCCGGCCGGACCUACUUGGGUGCUUGGGUUUCACCCCUCAGUUAUUGUGUUGUGCUGAGGUUAAUUUUGUACAAAUUUUUCAAACGUGACAAAAAUGAAACAAUGAUCUCAAAUUAUUCAAUUACUACUCCCUCCAUUCCAUAUUAACUUAAGCUUUGAGGUGUUUCACACCCUUUAAGAAAAGUAGGUUAGGACAUAAAUUGAACAUAAUUUUUCAUUUUUAUCCUUAUUAAUUAUUGUCAAAAAUAACUAAACAUUAAUUAUAAUAACUAAUUCCAAUACUAACUUAAAGGGUAAAAUUGGAAGAAUAUUUUAAAAAUAGUCUUGAAGAUUGAAAACUUAAGUUAAUUUGAAAAAUGUGAAACACCUCAAAGCUUAAGUUAAUAUGGAAUGGAAGGAAUAUUAAAUAGGUUAACAGAAUUGUAACAAGCAUAGCAAUCACUUUUUAACUUUCGAUAGAAAAUAUGCCAAAUAUAUACUACAAAAUAAAGUACAACAAUCUCGUGGCCCACUUUUAGUUUAUCUCUUUCUUCAUGUUGAUGAUUUGCCAUUAGUAUUCAGUAAGGCACAGGAAGAGCCUGUGGCAAGGCUCCAUGAGCUGCUUUGGGUAUCGUCUGGAAUUUGCAGAACUCCACUGAUAACAAUUGGCUUUCUUCAAUGUUGAUUGUGUUGAUUAGUUGUAGCAGAAUUCGCUCGAGUUCUUCCCCAUCAGUCCACUCGUGGACAGCUGCUUUUACUAGUGUCCUGUUUUUGUUUAUCAAAUUCCAGGCAGGGAAAUCUUUUCUUGGCAUCACAAAAUCUCCUUCCCUCAGCUUCAAACUGGGGCAGAAAUCUCCGAUUCCAUCCCCGAGAUAGAUCAUUCUUCUCUUCGCUUCCUUAGCAAUGCUGGCUUGAAUUCUUUCUACUAUCAUACCCUGCAUUAAACAGAAUCUCAAUUCAGGAAUUAGCUAAUUUCAUAUUAAAUCUAAAUUAAAGGAUUUAGUAUUUAGUUACCUUGCACAUGUUGGGAGGGCAGAGAUUGCAACCAUGAGGGGAUGUUUGAAAAUCAACAUAAGGAAGGAUUCGAAGCCUGCCUUCCUCAUCGACGUAACCUGGAUUGGUGUUGAUCUCUGAGAAACAAUCCCUAAUUCCGACAUGUUUCAAAAUAGUUUCAAUGAAGAAUACAUUUGCAUCGCUUAUUACUCUCAAAUCACACCUGAAUAUAUUAACACACAUUCAAUUAGUUUAAACCUCUGAUUUAUAUUAUGCAGAUUUAAAGAAAACAGAGGAAAUACAAAGCUGAAAUUAUGAGAUACGUACCCUAAUGCAUAAGCUGAUUUAAUAGCUGGAACAAUCCUAGGGUGUCUGGGAACCCGUUUCAGUACCUCUUCAAUGUCUUGUAUUGUUUUGCCUUGCGUAUGAAGCUCCUUCAUCAUUCUAUCCUGUAAUUUGAAACACAACAGAAAUUAUAAGCCCGAUGCACAAAGCUUGAUAGACAAGCAUAAAAGUACAGUAAGAAAAAAAAAGGUACCAUGAGAGAGUUCCAUGGCAUAGUGGGGAGAAGCUGAUUGAACAAAUCAGUGGCGCCUAACUCAUCCACCACCCAAUUAUCACUAUCCACAUCGAUAAUCGUCUUGUCAAAGUCGAAAAACACUACAAUUCCAGCCAUUUAUUUUGAGUAAAUUAUCGAGGAAUUAGAAACGAGAAAAGAGAGAAGACCUCUGUUUGUUGUUGUUAUGGGAUGUAUUUGAGUUUGUGAACACCAAACAUAUGAAGAGGGAGCUUUAUAGGGAGGGGGGAAAAAGGGAAUAAGGUACAAAAAAAAAAUAAGAUGCCAAGGAAUAUUACAUAAGUUAGUGGUAAGUUAACGCAAAUUCCUUUAGUCACUUGGUUUUGGAUAUUAGCCGUUAGAUUUUGAUCCUACGGUCGAUAAAUCUUUUUACUUUAUGGUAUAAAUAACUUUUCAUCUUAGUUGGGAGGAUUUAUGGAAAUUCGAAGGAAUAUGACAGAAUAUUCCAUGCGGUUCUCCACAAAUUAGGAUUGAACUUAAUCCUUGUACGAAUUACAUGGGAGAAUUAAUCUAGAUUUAUUUGUUUUUUUAGUGUUCUUUAUAUUUUAAUUACUCCUUCCGGCUCCAUCUCAUAUUAUUUAUCUAUUUUUUCUCUUUGCAUGCCACUUAAAAAUCAUAAAUAAAAAAUUCUUAAUAUAUAUUUUUAGUAUAAAAAUAGCUUAAAUACGGGUAAAUAUUUACGGUGACAGUAGCAAGAAGGGAAUCUGAAUAAGAGAGCAAGUGGUGGUUCUAUAUUAGGAGAUAUUCGAUCAUAAUUCCAAUUGUUACUAUAACUGUGGUAGUGGCAAAUGGCAAUUAUGAUGAUUUAUGAUAUAAAAAAUUAAAUAUAUGAAAAAAUUAAGAGCAAUAUAUAUAUAUAUAUAUAUAUAUUACUUUUCAUUAAAAAAAAUCGAUUGAGCCCUUCUCUUCCCUAACACCAAAUGAAUCAGAUUCAGAAUUGUAUGUGUCAAGUGGCAUAUGAAAUUAAAAGUUAUCAAUUGGAUUAAUGGAGCAGAAAUAUUCACGUUUUGAAUGAUAAUAUUAUUCAUUGAUCGUAACGAAUGUUGACUUAUUCUGAAAAAAUUAUGUAAAAGCUUUACAUAAUUAUUAUGAAGCUAAGCGAUGAAAAAAUGAUUUUAAUAAUUGAAGUUAUAUAUUCUAUUAUAGGAUUUAUCCAUACAAAUAAUAGAGCACAUACAAAAACUUUGAAAUAUUGCUUUUGAACACUAAAAAGAAAUUUAUUUUUACAACAAGCUUUUAAUAAUAUGAUUGUGAUUUGUCAUUACGUGUAAGAUUAUCUCCACUGUAGAAAGAAAUGAAAUUUCAAGGGGACAUCUGGAGAACUCUAGGAAAAAUGAAAUUACGGGUAUGUUUGGAAAGUCACCAAGUAAUUAGAAUUGGUGUAAUUACUAGGGUAGUAAUUACCAGCAUAGUAAUUACACAGUCUAGUAAUUACACUGACAUAUUUGAUUGUCACAGUGUAAUUACACUGUAACUACACAUGUCCUGUUUGGAUGCCACAGUGUAAUUACACAUGUUCUGUUUGGAUACACAAUUGCAAUCAUAAAUUAUAAUAAAUUUUAAAAUAAAAUUAAUCAUUUAAAAUUUAUACUAGACAAAUAAGAAAUUUUAUAAAUGACAUUAAAUUAAAUAUUUAAGAUAUAUAUUCUUUUUUGAAAAUAUAUUAAUUAAUAAACAUAUUUACUGUAACUAAUAUUAUGAAAAAAUAAUUGAUUUAUAUAUUUUCAAAUUAAUAUAUUUCAAUUGAAUUGAUCGUAACAACUAAAAGUAUGAAGUUUCUACGAACAUUAUGAAAUGCAUGUUUGAUAAAAAGAAUAGUAAUAUAUAAAUAAAAUAUCAUAAAUUAUUAAAUGUUUGACAAAAAUAUAAUCUAUCAAGUCUAAUUAAAAAAUGACGUGCAAUGUAAAUUCAAUAUUACUAAAACAAAUGAAACUGAAAAUAUAACAUAAGUAAUAAAUUCAAAACAAAAAAUUUAACAUAAUACUCUUAUAACAAAUUUCAACAUAGCAAUAAAUAUGAUUUAUUUUUAUUUCUUCAUAAUAAAGAAAACGUAGGUCUAUAACCUUACUUAACAUAAAUUCUAUUUUAAUUUAAAAAUUAGAAUACUAAUAAAAUUAUGCUAAUGAGAAAAUAAACAUGGCAUAAAGAAAUAGAUAAUACGAGAAAAUUACAUAAAAUCAUGUAAAGUAAGGUUGAGAAUAAGAAUAAAAUGAAAUAUAAUAAUAAAAAAUAAAAAAUAAAAAAUAGACUUUUACAAAUUUUAGAAUAAUAAAAAUAAAAAUAAAAAGAAAUUAAAAUAAUAGAAGUAAAAAAAAUUAAAACAAAAAAAAUAAAAAAUAGAAAUUAAAAAAAAAUGAAAUAGUAAUCAGGGGGUAAUUACACCAUGUAAUUACCAGCAUUCACAGCCUUUGCCUGUGAAUUGUAGAGUGUAAUUACCCCCUGCCAAUUACACCAACUACAUGUUGACCAAGUAAUUACAUGUCCUUCCAAACAGGACAAGACAGUGUAAUUACACCAAUUACAUCAAAUCCAAUUACCAGGGUGUCCUUCCAAACAGACCCGUGAUCAGUUUGUUGAUUUAGAAGCAUUCAAAUUAUUAUUAUUUUUGACACGUCCACCAGAUAAAAGGCAAUAGCAUGAUUCUUGCUUUUAUUUUUCACUUAUCUUGCCAGAUCUUGAUUUGGUAAUGCACCAUUAUCAUGUGAUAUGUUUCUUAGAUGUUUACUUUUUAUAUAUGGACGGUGUAUUGGUAUUAAACAAUAUCAAUUAUAAAAGGGUAGUUCUUAAUUAUUAUUUAUGAACUAGUGUACUUGUCCGUGCUUUGUAUGGAUAUAAAAAGAUAUUAAAUAUAUUUUAAAAUAAUUAAUAAAUGAUAUAAUAAAAGAGAGAAAUACAAAUUAAGUUAUGAUUAUAAUAUUAUCUAUUCAGAAAAAUUGCUAAAAAAUCUCAUGCUGCAUUUUUCAAUUUAAAAUUGCUGAUAAAAAAGAUGAAAACAUAAAAAUUGAUAUGAAAAGCUUCAGUUAAGUAACAAUCUAAUUAUCAUAGUUUCAUACUAAAUUCAAUGAUUCUUACAGUAAUAUUAUUGGUUCAACCAACAAUACUAAAUCUACUCGAUCAUAAAUUACAUGAUUUUUUUUUAUUUUGUAUAAAUGACUCUAUAAUAAAAAAUAUACAAAUGAAAAUAUAUUUGUACUAAAUCAUGGUGAGAAAAAAAUAUACUUGAAUUACAUUCGAACAUAUUUAUGCCCGAGAUUUAAAAGUUAGAGAAUUUUUUUUCGAUAUUUGAUGCUCGUACUGGCAUUCAUUUACUACAUAUUUGUGUCACAAGAUCCAUUAAUAUUAAAAAUAUAUAUUUAAACUUUCAUUCUUAUAGUAAGCACUGCGAUAAGAGAAAAUCAAGUUGCUAUAGUGAAACACUGUCGUUGAGGUUUUACUUUUACAAUAAAAAUAAAAUAAAAUUAAUCACAUAAUUUAUCGUAUAGAGAUUAUCAGUAGUGAGAAGAAAUAUUUUUUUUAAAAGAAUACGUGUAUGCAACGACGAAGAUGUAGAAAAAGUACCAAGAGUUGAAUAAUUUUUUACAACACUAAUACAAUUGUUCCUAUUAUUACAAUAUUAUUGUGGUAAUUAUUACAUGUCUCAAAAUAGGUUUUUAUAAGUGUCAUUUUAAGGAGUUAUAAAUUUGUAUAUUAAAUAAUAUGAAGGUUAUGAAUAUGAAAGGUUUGGAGUUAUAGAUAUUACUAAAUUAAUUAAGAUUUAAAUUUAUGUAAUUGAAGAGGUAUGAAUUAAGAAGAUGAUUUUAUAAAAUAAAAUAAUUGAAAAAGAUUAGAAAAAAUGUCAAAAAAAAUUAUAAUAUAUAUUGAUGUUAUUUAUAUUUCUUCUCCUGUUUUUGGCUUUUAUCGUUAUUUACCUUUAUAUAUAUAUAUAUAUAUAUAUAUAUAUAUAUAUUCUCCUAUUUUUGGCUUUUAGCGUUAUUGUGUUUAAAUUUUCUCUUUUUUAUUUAUUAAUUUAUGUGCUAUAUAUUAAUUCCACAUUAGUCUUACUUUAUUAUUUCAAUAAAACCUGAAAAGUGAAACACCCACUCUCUUCCUUUACCGAUUAGAAAAUAAAUGUUCAUCAUUUUUAAUAAAUUAAAUUAUAUGCUUACACUUUGUAUAAAUUAUAUGCAUAUAGUUUGUUUGAAUGGAAAGUGCAAUAGCAUAUAAUAUUAGAUUUCUCCUUUUCUUUCUUUGUUCUUUCACAUUUUUCAUUGAGGUAUCAACUAUAUUCUUUUAAUUGUUUAUAUGAUACAGUUUUUGGAGCUGGUCAUUUUUAAUUAUUACGUAGUAAUAAUAGAAAUGUUUAUAUGUAAUCCACACAAAGAAGAUUAAUUUAUAUAUAUGACUAAAUGAUAUCAUGAACAUGACUAUUAACAUAAUUUAGAAUUUGUGAUCAUUAAAAAUCAUGAAAGUAAGGAAAAUAAAGUCAGUUAAAUAUCAAAUAAUUUUAUGAACAUAACUAUAUUAAUAUAAUUUAGAAGUUAUAUGAUCAUCAAAUGUCAUGAAAGUAAGGAAAAUAAAGGCAAUUAAAAAUUUCUAUUAAAGAAAUAUGAAUAAAUGAAGGAGUAGUAAUUGACAUAUUUAUUUAUUUACAAUAAUAAGAAAUAUAUAAACAAAAAAAUUAUCAAGAAAAUGAAAGAAAAAAAGAUAAAUAUGAUUCUUGGCAAAAAAAAAAAAGUGGCAUAUCACUUUUCUUUUAGAUAAUUUAUAUAUUUGUAAAGAACGUAAAUAGAGAGACAAACAGUUUUACUAAAUGAUUUUUAUCCUAAACAAAUACUUUUACAUUUUGAGUUCGAAUCCAACAAAUCAUAAUAGUGAUCUCUAAACAUCUCAAAACUUGAAAAUUUCUAACAAUAAUAAUAAUAAAAAUUAAAAUAUGAAGAUUGCAAAGUUACAUAUUAAUAAUCAAUUUUUCUAUGAAUUAAACUGUAACUUGAAAAUUACAAAUCAACUUUACAUUCUCAUGUUCUAUCAUUAUAAUUAAUAAAAAUUGAUCCACAUAACUACAAAAUUAUCUACAUACUUUCUUGAGUAGCAUACAUGUAUAUGUUAACUCCCUUUUCUACCUUAACUUGAAAAUACGAUAAGUUAACUUUACAACAACACAACAACAACAACAACAACAAAUACAUAAAAAUAAAGUUAACUAAUCAAGUAAAAACUUUAAAGAAUAUUCAAUUAUGAGCAUGAAGAGGAAAGAAGGACCAUGUUCUCAACAUAACAUAAUCCAAUUCUCCAAAACCUACAAAGAGAAGAAGAGAGUAAAAAUAAUCAGAUUCUUUGGAAACUACAAAAAUAAGUAUAUAAAAAAAAAUCUUAAGAAACCACAAAGAGAAGCAAAAGAGAAAAAAAUCACAUUAUUUUCUAAAAAAAUAAAUCAUGAUUUGUAUCAUCUACAAUUCAAAAAAAUAAAUAUUAAAUAUAUAAUUACAAUAAAAAAAGUGAUAAUUAUAAGUAUUAGACAUGUCAAACCAAACUAUGCAAGGAUGUCUAACAUUAAUAUUCUCUAGAAACGACAAAGAGGAAAAAAACAAAUUAUUUUUUCCCAAAAUUAAAAAACCUCAUGAUUCGUAUAAUCAAGAAUAAAAAAAUUAAAUAUAUAUUUACAAUAGAAAAAAGUGAUAAUUAUACUACGUAUGUCCAAACAUUUUACCUCAUAAAAUCCAACUGUGUAAAACAUUCUUCAUUAUACAUAUCUCUCCUGCAAAAUAAGAUCAAAGAAGACAAAAAAUGACCAACCAAAGAAACACAAGAUGAAGAAUAAGAAAAUGAAAAUAAAAUAAUCAUCAUACAUAUCUCAAGAUAAGUUUUUAUAAGUGUCAUUUUAAGGAGUUAUAAAUUUGUAUAUUAAAUAAUAUGAAGGUUAUGAACAUGAAAGGUUACGAGUUGUAGAUAUUACUAAAUUAAUUAAGAUUUAAAUUUAUGAAAUUGAAGAGGUGUGAAUUUAGAAGAUGAUUUUAUGAAAUAAAAUAAUUGAGAAAAAUUAGAAAAAAUGUCAAAAAAACCACAAAAAAGAUAAAUAAGAUCUUGGGCAUUGAGAGGUGCCACAUCACUUCUUUUUUAUCUAACUUUAUAUAUAUAUAUAUAUAUAUGAUUGGACAAUUUUGAUUUUUUAAAGUUAAUAUAUUUAAUCAGUUCAUUAGCUUUGACGAGAAUUAAGGGGGGAAAUAAAGAAGGAAGAUAGAGGAAAUUCAAAUUUAGAGGUAUAUUGUGGUAACCAGACAAGUCAUUGAAAUCACGAAAUUCAAUGACUUUUCUUAGGACCCGGCCAUAGAUUUCUCAAGUAAAAUUUAGGGGAAAAUUUGGCAAAUAAUGUUUAUCCAUAUAAUUUGUCAUUAUUUGACAAAUAUUUUUGGCAAAUAACUCAAAUUCUCAAAUACUAAAAAAACUAGUAUUUGGGUCAAAUCUCAUUAUUUGGGAUCUUUUAAAAAUUAAACUCUACACCAAAUUUUUAUCUUUUACAGAAACACCCUCUAUAAUAGUUGUUUGCGUUGUAUUACAUAAUUUUUUACGUAAACACCAAAGUAGUGAUAGAAUAUUUAGUGAAUAUGAAAGUGAUGAUAUGUUUAUUGAUGAAAAUGAUGAACAAUCGGCUCAGGGUAACAAAGUCAUUUGCUUUGUCUACUUCACAAUGUAUAGGACGAUGCUUGUUGUACUCAUUCUGAACUACCAUAUUGCUCUAGUGUCAUGGACACUACUUGUUAUUUGUUGCAACGAAGAUCCAAUUGACUUGUAAUACAAACCUAUGGUUAGUUUUGGUAGUUUUUAAAAACUUAUGGGUAUAAAUCAUAUUUCCUAAAAAAGUGAAAUAUGUUUCCCAAAUACUAUGGCCAAACACAUGGUGAAAUUUCACCCAAAUUUUAACCCAAAUAAUAUUUGCCAAAAAUAUUUGGAAAUCUAUGGCCAAACGCUAACUUAGUAAAUUCUCAAAGUUGAGUAAUCUUUUGAGAUAUUACCUCAAUUUUAUUCACCACUCAAAAGAGAGAAAUUUUAUUGUGAAGGAAGGUCGUGUGUUCUAAUGAUGGGUUAUAUAAACUCUUCACCUUAUUCGGAGUUGUUUGAGUCACAUGAUAUUAUUCAGUUGUUGUAUCUGAAUAGAAUGGGUCCAGAGUAAUAUAUAUUGCUACACCAAAAAGGAUCUUUAGUGGCAAUAAAUUAAUUGCCGUUAAAUAUGUAUUUUUACUUUUUAGCGUCAAUUAGCUAGUAUUCUUUGUAAAUGUCCAUAAUAUCUAUAGUGACACUAAAUCUAAUGACAAUUAUCUAAUGCUGAUAAAAAUUUUACCACUCUCUGUUAAUAUAUAUAUUUAUUGCCGCUAAAAAUUAUUUUUGUUAUAAUAUAAAUCGGUUAAAUUAGACUUAAAUCUCCUUAAAGAAAACAAGAUUUGUAUGCCUUAUUUAUUUAUUUUUAUCAUUUUAUUUUCCAACUACAAUUUACUAUAAUAUAUGGUAUAUUCACCGACACACGGAUAUGAUUAAUAACUUCAGCAAAAGACACAUCCUCUUUGCACCUUACCUGCCAUUUACCAUCGGAAGGCAGAAAUAUUCUAAAAUUAUUCAAUAAAAACAAAUAUAGGAGUUUAUAGAAAGGCGGGGACAGAUUCAGUAUUUUUAAUACAGAAAAGGGUAAAUUAUUCUUAAACUAUGCGAAAUAAAAAAAAGGGAGACGCAAAAGUUAGGUAUUCCCUUUUGUGGUAAUUGACCAAAUUAAUGAAACCUUAAAUAAGCUAAUUGACAAACAUUGUAAAAGAAAUUCAAGCAUCAAUUCACAUUGCAACACUAUUUGUGGAAAAGACAGAUUACAAUCGUUCAGAUUAUUUGUUUAAUAUAUGUAGGUUAGAGUGUCUACUUAAGCUGAAUUCGAUAAUGUUGUAAUUCGCGGUCUCUUAACAAUACUUAGGACAUGAAACAAAUUGUUCUUAUAUAUAUCAAAGGGAAAAGGGUUAAAAAUACCCCUCAACUUUGUUUUAUUGUUUGACUAUACCCUUACCGUUAAAACGAAGUUAUUUUUGCCCCUGCCGUCUACAAACUCAUCACAUUUACCCCUCAAUUGGAUGGAAACCCCCAAAUCAACAAAAAUAACCCGAUUUACUUAAAUUAACCAAUUUUAACCCGACUCGACCCAUCAAAUGAUACAACCCACCUAUGUUCAUCUUCAUUUUUAACCUAAUUUAUCUGUCUCCCUAUUUCCUACUUCCUACUGUUCAUCUUCAUCACUUCCUUGAGCUUCAAAUCAAACAUUCUUCUUUGCCUUCUUUUCCAUCUUUUCCGCAGCUCACGUCUCGGGCAUCAUUAUGCCAUUACAGGCAUCUCUUCAAUACCCCAUUCUCUUCCUUAGAACCUGCCCUAAAUCUGAUACUUCCAGCAAAGUUAAAUUCGAAAUCUCAUUAACUAUCGCUGAUACUCUCCCUGAUGGAGCCAACUUUGAUUCGUGAGCUGAUGUUGUGAAAUUUGAACUAAUUAACGGUUUAGUAAAGCUGUAGAAAUGGGUUUCAGAAUUUUUUUGAAUCUUGGACUGUGGAAUUGUGAAUGCACAUAAGGUGUUAGAUAUGUGGAAAUAGUUCUGGAACGGUGAUACAGAGAAUUAGAAAUAAAUCGAUUGAAACAUCUCAUGAUUAUGACAUAAAAGCUUCUGACUGAAUUGCUUGGGCUUUGUAAUGGUGCCGGAACAGUGAUUACGGCGACGAUGGGUUUAAUCGUCUGGGAAGUAGGAAGGUUGGGGAAGUUGAGGUUUUAGGCUUACUUACUUGUAUUUACUUAAUCCCAUUAGGUUAUGAAAAUGUUAUUCAUGUCUUUGAAAAUGUAUUUUCCUCCAUUGUUUUUUGCCUUGAUCUCAAGAUGAAGAUGAACAAAGCGGGUCAUCUAUUAGAUGGAUCGGAAUCGGGUUAAAAUUGGUUAAUUUAAGUAAAUCGGGUUAUUUUUGUUGAUUUGGGGGUUUCCAUCCAAUUGAGGGGUAAAUGUGAUGAGUUUGUAGACGGCAGGGGCAAAAAUAACUUCGUUUUAACGGUAAGGGUAUAGUCAAACAAUAAAACAAAGUUGAGGGGUAUUUUUGACCCUUUUCCCUAAAAAAAAUAACUUCACUUAUAAUUUGAUUUAAAAAUACCUUUGCCGUUAAUAAUUUUGUUCAAAAAUACCUUUAUUAUUUGACUUACUUUCCUUUUUAAGCCGAUUGAAAAAAAAGUGACUCAUUUCCUUUUUAGGAACAUGGUAAUUCCUAUUUUGCACGUGACAUGUUUAAUAUCACAAGAUUAAAAAUAUUUUGAUACAUUUGACUUAUCUUUAAUUUAAGACCACGAGAUUCAAUUCAUUAUUUUUUAAACCUCCGUGUCAAGUCAAAAUAGGACAAACAAAUUAAAAAUCGGAGAGAGCAGAAAUGUAAAAUAAAAAAUUAAGGAAUUUUCGUGUUUUUGUUUUUGCCUCCUAAAAGGAGGACCAAACAGACUAUUACACUCUGUAGGUUCAGAAUUUUUAGAUUCUUUAACAUUGAAUUAUUUAAAAAAAAUACAAGUUCAUGUAUGUAUACUAUUUAUGAGUACAAUUUUAAUAAUUUUUUACUCAUAAGUUUAUGUAGUGGGUCGAAAAUUAUGAGUGAAAUUGAAUCUUCUGAACUCAAACCACAUGUUCAAUAAUAGCAAUCACUUUUUAACUUUCGAAAGAAAAAAUGUCUACAACAAUCUCGUAGCCCAUUAGUACUUAGUAAGGCACUGGAAGAGCCGGUGGCAAUGCUCCAUGAGUUGCUUUUGACAUUGUCUGGAAUUUGCAGUACUCAACUGAUAACAAUCGGCUUUCUUCAACACUGAUUGUGUUUAUUAGUUGUAGUAGAAUGUGCUCGAAUUCUUCCCCAUCUGCCCACUCGUGGACAGUUGCUUUUACUAGUGUCCUGUUUUUAUUUAUCAAAUUCCAGGCUGGGAAAUCUUUUCUUGGCAUCACAAAAUCUGCUUCCAUGAGCUUCAAACUGGGACAGAAAUCCCCGAUUCCAUCACCUAGAUAGAUCAUUCUUUUCUUCCCUUCUUUAGUCAUGCUGGCUUGAAUUCUUUCUACUAUCAUACCCUGCAUUAAACAGAAUCUCAAUUAGGAAAACUAAUUUCAUAUUAAAUCUAAAUUAAAGGAUUUAGUAUUUAGCUACCUUGCACAUGUUGGGAGGGCAGAGAUUGCAGCCAUGAGGGGAUGUUAUAAAAUCAACAUAAGGGAGGAUUCGAAGCCUGCCUUCUUCAUCGACGUAGCCUGGAUUGGUGUUGAUCUCAGAGAAACAAUCCCUAAUUCCGACAUGUUUCAAGAUAGUUUCAAUGAAGAAUACAUUUGCAUCGCUUGUUACUCUCAAAUCACACCUGAAUAUAUUAACACACAUUCAAUUAGUUUAAACCUCACAAUUUUAUUUUUAAAAAAACAGAGUAAAUACAUAGCUGAAAUUAUGAGAUACAUACCCUAAUGCAUAAACUGAUUUAAUAGCUGGAACAAUCCUAGGGUGUAUGGGAACCCGUUUCAGUACCUCUUCAAUGUCUUGUAUUGCUAUGCCUUGUGUAUGAAGUUCGUUCAUUAUUCUAUCCUGUAAUUUGAAACGCAACAGAAAUUAUAAGCCCAUUGCGCAAAGCUUGAGAGACGAGCAUAAAAGUAUAGUAAGAAAAAAAAAGGUUACCAUGAGAGAGUUCCAUGGCAUAGUGGGAAGAAGCUGAUUGAACAAAUCAGUGGCGCCUAACUCAUCCACCACCCAAUUAUCACUAUCCACAUCGAUAAUCGUCUUGUCAAAGUCGAAAACCACUACAAUUCCAGCCAUUCUUUUUUGAGUAACUUCUCAGAGACGAAAGAAGAGAUGAAUAUAGAAGACCUCUGGUUGUUGUAUAACACCAAACAUAUGAAGAGGGAGCUUUAUAGGGAAGGGAAACAAAGGGAAUUAGGUACAAAAAAUAAGAUGCUAAGGGAAUAUUACAUAAGUUAACGCAGGGAAUUUCUAUACUCACUUGGUUUUCUUCUUUCAACAUACUCAACUAAUUUUCGAUAUUAGCCGUUAGAUUUUGAUCCUACAGUGGAUAAAUAUUUUUGGUUUAUGGUAUAAAUUACUUUUCAUUUAUUAGUUGGGAGGAUUUAUGGAAAUUCGAAGGAAUAUGACGGAAUAUUCCAUGCAGGGAAUGCAAUUCUCCAUAAAUUAGGAUUGAACUAAAUCCUUGUACGAAUUACAUAGGAGAAUAAAUCUAGAUUUAUGUGAUGUAAUAUAGGAAUUCCAUAUUUAUUUGUUUUUACCGCGUUCUUUAUAUUUUAAUUAUUCCUUCUACCUUUGGGCUCUGUCUCAUAUUAUUUGUUCAUUAUUUUCUGUUUAACUGCCACUUAAAAAUCAUAAAUAUAAAAUACUUAAUAUUUUUAUUUUUUUGGUAUAAAAUCAAACAGGCGUAAAAAUAUUUACGGUUACAGAAGCAAGAAGUCUUCCAUAUAAUCAAUAGGUAGAAGGGUGUAGAAUGAUUGGUAGUAAUCAGUGGUGGAGCCAAAAAAUUUAAUAAGGGAUUCAAAAUCUGAAAAGUAAACACACGAACUAGUGGAAGGGAGUUCGACAUCUCUUAUGCAUACCUAAAAAAUAAUUUUAACCAUGUAUAAAUAGUAAUAUUUUCCGCCGAAGAGGGUUCGGAUGAUACCCCCUAAGUAUAUGUUGCCUCUGCUCCUGGUAGUAAUGUGGGUAGAUAAAUGUGAUAGAUGUUACAUAAGUUAUAAAAAAACUAACGGUCAUAUGAGUUACAAGAAACUAACGGUCAUAGAGUUACAAGAACCAAUAAUCGUCUUCUACCACAAUUUAUACCCACUAACCUAUGCACUUAAUAUUACUUUAGUCAUGCACCUAAUUUUAGACUUAAAUCUCCUUUAAAAAAAUACGAUUUGUAUGCCUCAACCUGAAUAUUAUUUAUUUAUUUUUAUCAUUUUAUUUUUCAACUACAAUUUACUAUAAUAUAUGGUAUAUUCAUCGCCACGCGGAUAUGAUCAAUAACUUCAGCAAAAGACACAUCCUCUUUGCACCUUACCUACCAAUUACCAUCGGAAGGCAGAAAUAUUGUAAAAUUAUUCAAUAAAACAAAUAUAGGACUUUAUAGAAAGGUGGGAAUAGAUCCAGGAUUUUUAAUACAGAAAAGGUUAAAAAGUUUUAAACUAUGCGAAAUAAAUAAAAAUAACUUCACUUCUAAUUUGGUUUAAAAAUAUCUUUGCCAUUAAUAAUUUCGUCCAAAAAUACCUCUAUUAUUUGACUUACUUUCUUUUUAAAGUCGUUUAAAAAAGAGUGACUCACUUCCUUUUUAGCAACUUGGUAAUUUCUAUUUUGCACGUGACAUGUUUAAUAUCACAAGAUUAAAUGACUUAUCUUUAAUUUAAAAUCACAAGAUUCAAUUCAUUAUAUUUUUAAACUCCGUGUCCCAAACAAAUUAGAAAUCGAAGAGAGUAAUAAUGUUUUCAUAAUAAAAAAUUAGGGAAUUUUCAUGGUUUUGCCUCCUAAAAACCUGACCAAACAGACUAGUACACUCUAUAGGUUCAAUUUUUUUAGAUUCUUAACAUUGAAUAUAUCAUAUUUUAAAAGUUGUAUACUACUAUUUAUGAGUACAAUUUUAAUAAUUUUUUAAUCAUAAGUUUAUGUGGUGCGUCGAAAAUUAUGAGUUAAAUUGAAUCUUCUGAACUCAAACGACAUGUUCAAAUAUAGCAAUCACUUUUUAACUUUUGAUAAAAAAAAAUGUCAUACAUACAAAACAGAGUACAAUAAUCUCGUAGCCCAUUAGUAAGGCACUGGAAGAGCCAGUGGUAAGGCUUCUUUGGACAUCGUCUGGAAUUUGCAGUACUCCACUGAUAACAAUUGGUUUUCUUCAACAGUGAUCGUGUUGAUCAGUUGUAGCAGAAUGUGCUCGAAUUCUUCCCCAUCAGUCCACUCGUGGACAGCUGCUUUUACUAGUGUCCUGUUUUCGUUUAUCAAAUUCCAGGCUGGGAAAUCUUUUCUUGGCAUCACAAAAUCUGUUUCCAUGAGCUUCAAACUGGGACAGAAAUCCCCGAUUCCAUCGCCUAGAUAGAUCAUUCUUUUCUUCCCUUCCUUAGCCAAGAUGGCUUGAAUUCUCUCUACUAUCAUAC